rnacentral:rRNA from 1 species
AUUGAACGCUGGCGGCAGGCCUAACACAUGCAAGUCGAGCGGAGCGGCGGACGGGUGAGUAAUGCCUAGGAAUCUGCCUGGUGGUGAGGGAUAACGUCCGGAAACGGGCGCUAAUACCGCAGAAGAGCAAGUGGGCCUAGGGCGGAUUAGCUAGUUGGUGGGGUAGAGGCUCACCAAGGCGACGAUCCGUAGCUGGUCUGAGAGGAUGAUCAGUCACACUGGGACUGAGACACGGUCCAGACUCCUACGGGAGGCAGUAGUGGGGAAUAUUGGGCAAUGGGCGAAAGCCUGAUCCAGCCAUGCCGCGUGUGUGAAGAAGGUCUUCGGAUUGUAAAGCACUUUAAGUUGAGAGGCGUUACCAACAGAAAAAGCACCGGCUAACUUCGUGCCAGCAGCCGCGGUAAUAC